rnacentral:rRNA from 1 species
GAGACUCUGUGCGCGUGCAUAUCAAUAAGCGGAGGAAAAGAAACUAACUAGGAUUCCCUCAGUAACGGCGAGUGAAGCGGGAAGAGCUCAAAUUUGAAAUCUUCAAGGUUCUACCUUGACGAAUUGUAGUUUAAAGAAGUGUUUUCUGUUGGAGUUUUGGUAAAAGUUCUUUGGAAUAGGACAUCAUAGAGGGUGAGAAUCCCGUAUUUGACCAUUAUUUCCAACUUUGUGAUACACUUUCAAAGAGUCGGAUUGUUUGGGAAUGCAGUCCAAAAUGGGUGGUAAAUUUCAUCUAAAGCUAAAUACUGGCGAGAGACCGAUAGCGAACAAGUACCGUGAGGGAAAGAUGAAAAGAACUUUGAAAAGAGAGUUAAACAGUACGUGAAAUUGUCAAAAGGGAAGCGUUUGACACCAGUGUUGUUUUCUCGAAAAUCAAUUAAAAAUGGUGGGAUUUUGUGUUGUAUUGACUUUAUCAGCUUUCUGCACUUUUUUCCUAUCUUUUUUAAUGCACUUUUCGUUUAACAAGUCAACAUCAAUUUCUUUUGCUGUAAAAGGGUCAUUGGAAGGUGGCUUUCUUUUCGGAGAAAGUGUUUAUAGCCUUGUGCCUCUGCAAUCGGAGAGAUUGAGGUCUGCAGCGUAGAUCCUUCGGGGUUAGAUACGUUUGUGCUAAGUUAUAGCUUUUCAUAGACAACUUGUUGACUAUGUUUAGUCUUGUAGCUUACUCGCUUACGCUAUUUUACCUACGCUUAGGAUGUUGAACUCUAUCACACACAG